rnacentral:lncRNA from 1 species
GUGAGUCGGGAGGGAUGACUGAGUCCGCCAUGACGGGACUUCAUGUUCCUGCACACACCAAGCAGAACACUCCUCACGCAGCUCUGUCUCCUCGGGACACUCCGGAGUUUCACCCUCCUUCACCGAGUCUGGCUUUCUGCGGCAGCAUGUCAGUGUGUUCAUAUCUGGUCACAGUCUGGCAGGAGAGCGCUGGACAUCAUCACGGUUUGUGUCCCACAUCAGCUUCAGAGCGGACGAGUCGGCCGAUGAAUUCCCCCUGAAAGUCCGCAGUGAAACAACAGUAGUUCCUCUCUUGAGGCACCAGGGGGAAAUGGAUAGCUGUGGAAAGGAUGCUUCGGGGAAUAGGCAAGCUCGGGAGACGUCUCAGAAGUUUGGGCCAUUUGUCAGAACUACGAUGUGGAAUAACCCUGCGCGGUCAGCAUUGCAUAUAGAAAAGAUUUUUUUAUGUCCCGUUGUAAAGCAACGCCAUUAUGCCUCCUCCUCCAUCAUAAACGGUGUUGUUUCAGCCGAUAGUGCUCCCCGUGUAUGACCUCUGACCCUGUCAUUUGUCUGCUGAAGAUGGCUUUUAGAACCUCUAAAGGACAUUUCACUGCGGUGAAUUAUCCAAGGGGGCCCACAUUUGUUUCCAUCCGUUUUGAUAUUGGUCAUUGUUUCCACAUUUGAUGCAUUCACUAUGCUCCUCAGAAAAUCUUUCCCAUAUCCAAUUUCUUUCUUUCCCGUGUCCAAUUUUCCCUAAUAUUCAGAUGAUUAUGGCGUGAUGCUUUCCUUCCCUCCUUUUCAGCAGUCUACUCUUUUCCUCUCCCAUUUUCCCCUGAUUCUCUUUCACUCUCUUCCUUAUAUUCUGACAUAUGGCUACAUGAUAUGAAUGUUUUCAGUGACAUUAUGUCCAAUCAGCACAAAUAUAGAUGUGCCACAAUGGCUGAGAUUCCGCCGCAAAUCAUCCACAAAUGAAAACAUAAAACCUUACAUUUACUUUGCCUCUCCUAUCCCAAAUCCAAAUGGCAAAAAAAUAUUUUCAAUCUUCCCCCUCUGACAGACAGUUCAUAGUGUUUUUGUGUUGCAGCCUGAGAAUUAAAU